rnacentral:rRNA from 1 species
AAGUGGUACGCGAGCUGGGUUUAGAACGUCGUGAGACAGUUCGGUCCCUAUCUGCCGUGGGCGCUGGAGAACUGAGGGGGGCUGCUCCUAGUACGAGAGGACCGGAGUGGACGCAUCACUGGUGUUCGGGUUGUCAUGCCAAUGGCACUGCCCGGUAGCUAAAUGCGGAAGAGAUAAGUGCUGAAAGCAUCUAAGCACGAAACUUGCCCCGAGAUGAGUUCUCCCUGAGACUUAAAGUCUCCUGAAGGAACGUUGAAGACGACGACGUUGAUAGGCCGGGUGUGUAAGCGCAGCGAUGCGUUGAGCUAACCGGUACUAAUGAACCGUGAGGCUUAACCUUACAACGCCGAAG